rnacentral:misc_RNA from 1 species
AAAGGUGCAUGAGUGGUGUUUGGUUUGUUACGGGUGGUUGGCUCUUUGCUUGUGCAACAACUUCCACCUGGCAUACCUCUUCAGUCUUGUGUCAAUGCAUGUAUUGCAUAGAAUGCACGGUGGGUUUCUUGUGUUGCAUGCCUAAUUGAUGGUAUCAUUUGAUGAAUUGAUGUCUAUUUCGUCUUGUGUCGCACAUGCGAUGUGAGAUGAACCUUAAAGUAGCCUUUGUGAUCCACUCUUUUGAUGCACACGCAUUGAUUUGUGGCCCAUUGAGUGUUGCUUGGUCUCAUGGAUAUGGAACCUUGUGUGGGCAUGGGAUCUUUUACUAGUUCCUUGUUUGCCCUAGUUAAGCUUUUCAAAUACGAUUUCCUAUCAUGUC